rnacentral:rRNA from 1 species
GUUAGUCGCGCGUCUCCCAGCCAUGAAAGAGACGCGGCACACGGCUCAGUAACAUGUGGCUAACCUGCCCUUAGGACAGAGAACAACCCCGGGAAACUGGGGCUAAUCUCUGAUAGGUGUGGAAUUCUGGAAUGAAUCGACACCCAAAAGACGCACUGAAUCAUGCUUUAGACAUCGCCUAAGGAUGGGGCCGCAGCCGAUCAGGUUGUUGGUGAGGUAACGGCUCACCAAGCCUAUAACCGGUACGGGCCGCGGGAGCGGUAGCCCGGAGAUGGACACUGAGAUAAGGGUCCAGGCCCUACGGGGCGCAGCAGUCGCGAAAACUCCACAAUGCGCGAAAGCGCGAUGGGGCUAUCCCGAGUGCCGUCCGCUGAGGAUGGCUUUUCUCCAGUGUAAGGAGCUGGGGGAAUAAGGAGAGGGCAAGACUGGUGUCAGCCGCCGCGGUAAUACCAGCUCUCCGAGUGGUAGGGAUGUUUAUUGGGCCUAAAGCGUCCGUAGCCGGCUCAUCAAGUCCUCCGUUAAAUCCAGCGAUUCAAUCGUUGGGCUGCGGGGGAUACUGUUGGGCUAGGGGACGGGAGAGGCCGACGGUAUUCCCGGAGUAGGGGUGAAAUCCUAUAAUUCCGGAGGACCACCAGUGGCGAAGGCUGUCGGCUAGAACGAGCUCGACGGUGAGGGACGAAAGCUGG